rnacentral:rRNA from 1 species
AACAACAGUUGGAAACGACUGCUAAUACCGUAUACGCCCUACGGGGGAAAGAUUUAUCGGGGUAUGAUGAGCCCGCGUUGGAUUAGCUAGUUGGCGGGGUAAAGGCCUACCAAGGCGACGAUCCAUAGCUGGUCUGAGAGGAUGAUCAGCCACAUUGGGACUGAGACACGGCCCAAACUCCUACGGGAGGCAGCAGUGGGGAAUAUUGGACAAUGGGCGCAAGCCUGAUCCAGCCAUGCCGCGUGAGUGAUGGAGGUCUUAGGAUUGUAAAGCUCUUUCACCGACGAAGAUAAUGACGGUAGUCGGAGAAGAAGCCCCGGCUAACUUCGUGCCAGCAGCCGCGGUAAUACGAAGGGGGCUAGCGUUGUUCGGAAUUACUGGGCGUAAAGCGCAUGUAGGCGGAUAUUUAAGUCAGGGGUGAAAUCCCGCAGCUCAACUGCGGAACUGCCUUUGAUACUGGGUAUCUUGAGUAUGGAAGAGGUGAGUGGAAUUCCGAAUGUAG